CCAUGGCUCCUCUGUUGUGCAAGGAGAGAGCUCAAAAAGAGGAGGAGCAGCCACCAACCAAGUCUGCCUGUGUCCACCAGCCUGCUGCUUCCCACUCCAAACUAGAGGCUGUGGAAGGCAGGGUAACUUAACUCUUGACCCUCCAGGGCCAGCGAGGAAGAGCUGAUAACGAAGGCCACCUCCAGAGGAGCAACAUCCUUUGGCCACAGGACAUGGGCAGCAGCCAGCCUGAUAGGUCCCACGUCAGGGAAGGGAGGCCAGAUCAGUCGUACUGAUGUCCCUCUUCCAUGCCCUCCGCUGUCCUC
rnacentral:lncRNA from 1 species